rnacentral:rRNA from 1 species
CUACGGGUCGCAGCAGUGAGGAAUAUUGCACAAUGGGGGGAACCCUGAUGCAGCAACGCCGCGUGGAGGAUGACGCAUUUCGGUGUGUAAACUCCCUUUAUAUGUCAAGAAAAUGACGGUAGCAUAUGAAUAAGCACCGGCUAACUCCGUGCCAGCAGCCGCGGUAAUAAGGAGGGUGCAAGCGUUACUCGGAAUCACUGGGCGUAAAGGACGCGUAGGCGGGCUUGUAAGUCAGGUGUGAAAUCCUACAGCUUAACUGUAGAACUGCACUUGAAACUACGAGCCUAGAGUAUGGGAGGGGGAGAUGGAAUUAGUGGUGUAGGGGUAAAAUCCGUAGAUAUCACUAGGAAUACCUAAAGCGAAGGCGAUCUCCUGGAACAUAACUGACGCUAAGGCGUGAAAGCGUGGGGAGCAAACAGGAUUAGAUACCCCGGUAGUC